CACAGGAGGAAAAUGAGCUGUCACUCCAAUUCCCAGGAUGCCUUGCUGCUUAGCAUAACUCCACUCUGCGGCCCAGGGUCCACUGGUCCGUACUCUGACAGAUAAUUAAGAAAGCAGCAGCUUUUUCUAGACGGCUCUUCCUCAUGAUUUGCAUUUUAGCCAGAGGCGACCAGUUAUAAAAAAAACAUGAUGGAAAGAUGGUAAGAAGCCAAUUAGAUGGAUGGAUGGCUGACUGACAGCUCUCUGGUAUUACUACUCCAGAUUUCAUUCUAUGUAUCCUGGCAGUUUUCAACGGGAACCAACUCUGCAGGUGGAAGUUAUUCACUCAGAGGGUGGUGACGCACUGAACAGGUUGUCCAAGGAUUGCUGGAUGCCCCAUCCCUGGAGGCAUUCCAGGCCAGGCUGGAUGUGGCUCUGGGCAGCCUGGUGUGAUGGUUGGAGACCCUGCACAUAGCAGGGGGUUGGAACUGGAUGAUCACUGUGGCCCCUUUCAACCCAGGCCUUCUGUGAUUCUGUGAUUCUUCUGAGUGGAGUUAAAGAGGCCAUCAGUGAGUGUCUUACUGCUACGUAUCUGGCUUAAAAUGAACAGCUGCUCCAGAGAUCUGGAAAUACUCUCUUUAGUUUUGAAUAGGAGGAGAAACUGAAGCGGAAGCAGGUGUUUGUGGCUGUGUUGUGUGAGGUAUCCUUCCUCUCUUUGUAGCUGCACAGUCACUGGGAUCAAAUUUAAAACGUGCAAAACCCCGAAUUCCUCAGAAUGUGGUGUGAAAGUGCACUUUGCUCACCGUUGUGAAAGCCAGCCGGCGAGCUUUGAGUUAUUCCCGUUAUUUCAGGAGAGGCAUAUUCCCUCUUUCUCACUAAAAGUGAGAAUACCGAGGGAAGAGAGGUGGCAGCGUGGCUAAAAUACGGAAUGAGGAAGUCACACCAACCUGUUCUGCUGCUUCGGUUGCUCAAGAGCCGGAUUUCCCGGUGUCGGAACUGCAUCACGGCAGCACUAGGUGGCAAUGUUGCUACAACGAAAACUCCCAUCGCUCCGCUCCAGCAGAGACCCCCGCCACGCUUUGCAGACAAUGCGAAGAGCUGUCGCCGCUUCGGCAGUUGCAUGGCAUCGUUUGGGUUGGCCGGGACUGCUCCGAGGUUGGCUGGUUGGUUGGCGUUUUCAUGAAGGAGCAAGUUGGAGGUGAUAAAUUGGUGUUGCUCAUGGGUUUGGUCAUUCCUACUGAAUUUGCAGUGGAUCUGGGGGUUGUUGAGUAAGGCACAGAGAAAUGAGCUGCUGACAGUCGUGUUAGGAUGAGGCUCCAUCAUCUGACAAAGAUCAUGAGGACUCAAGCCUGAUCCUAAUCAUAAAAUCAUAGAAUUAUAGAAUGGCCUGGGUUGAAAAGGACCACAAUGCUCAUCUCGUUCCAACCCUCUGCUAUGUGCAGGGUCACCAACCAGCAGACCAGGCUGCCCAGAGCCACAUCCAGCCUGGCCUUGAAAUAAUAAUAUCACUCAUGAGACCAUGGAAAGAAUAUAACUUGUACCUUCCCUCGUGUGCUAAUUCCAGUGAAAUCAAAGCCAAAAUUGUGGGGUAUAAAGUUUAGGGUGUGGGCAGCUUUUUCCAAGAUUAGUGCAUCUGAAGAAGAGUGAGCCAAUGGAAGCACGGAACAGCUAGCAGUUCAAUCUGUGUUUAAUCAACUACAGAGAAACAGCGUUCAUCAGGUCAUGAUGCUGAGGGGGCUCUGCACACUCCAAGUAUUUAUUUUAAUCCUCCUUAAUACCCACCAUUUGCAGUUAUAGUAAACUGCAAACUGCAGCUCUGGUUACCAAUAGGAUAAGCGACACUUCUGGUCUGAGUUUACCUCAUCGCUCAAGGGAUCAUCAUGAAAAUUCAGAUUUUAAUUCCAUUCUAAAGAAAAUGUUGCAUCCUGCUGACAGUAGCUGUGAUGGAUGAGAGUAAAAAUGGCCAAAGUGCAGAAAAAUCUUCUACCCUUUGCCAGGGAAGGGGAGUGGGCUGCACAUCGUGCAUUUCUACUGCAAAGGAUGCUCCAAAAGUAAUGCCUUCUAUUUUAUUGUCUUGGGCCACGACGUCAGAGGCAGAUGUCAGUGGGAUGACAGUAGAUACUGAGUCUUCCCACCAAUAUCCUGCUACAUUUUGUUCUGUGUGACAGACAACAGCAGAAAGACAGUCUGAAAGUACGGCAUCUGACAUGGAAAUGGGUAUGGAGCAAAGGUGUGUAAUUGAAUUCUUCCUUGAAGAAAAAGCAGCACCUACUGACAUUCAUUGAUGCUUACGGAAUGUUUAUGGAGACCAAACAGUGGGUUUGAGCACAACAAGGGGUGGGUUUUGUAUUUCUGCAGUGGUGAUAAUGACAUGAAAUACAAACCAUGUUCUAGACAGCCAUGCACAGCUGUCAGACCAUGAACUGAAGACAGUCUCAAUCAGCUCAUCCACACAUUCUGCUAAUGGUGAUGAUUGUUUUUUGUAGCUGAAAAUUCACUCUAUUCAAUAGUGUUAUUUUGUUCUUUGUAUGCAUUGUACCUUCCAUGGAAAUAUAUGCAUUACUUUUAGAGCGACCUAUGUAGUUUAUGAACAGUUGGAUUCUCAUAAUGGAUACUCAGAGGGUGGUGACACAUUGGAACAGGUUGCCCAAGGAGUUUGUGGAUGCCCCAUCCCUGCAGGCAUUCAAGGCCAGGCUGGAUGUGGCUCUGGG
rnacentral:lncRNA from 1 species